UGGGGAAUAUUGGACAAUGGGCGCAAGCCUGAUCCAGCCAUGCCGCGUGUGUGAAGAAGGCCUUCGGGUUGUAAAGCACUUUUGUACGGGAAGAAAAGCACUCGGUUAAUACCCGGGUGUCAUGACGGUACCGUAAGAAUAAGCACCGGCUAACUUCGUGCCAGCAGCCGCGGUAAUACGAAGGGUGCAAGCGUUACUCGGAAUUACUGGGCGUAAAGCGUGCGUAGGUGGUUUGUUAAGUCUGAUGUGAAAGCCCUGGGCUCAACCUGGGAAUUGCAUUGGAUACUGGCAGUCUAGAGUGCGGUAGAGGGUAGCGGAAUUCCCGGUGUAGCAGUGAAAUGCGUAGAUAUCGGGAGGAACAUCCGUGGCGAAGGCGGCUACCUGGACCAGCACUGACACUGAGGCACGAAAGGCGUGGGGAGCAAACAGGAUUAGAUACCCUGGUAGUCCACGCCCUAAACGAUGCGAACUGGAUGUU
rnacentral:rRNA from 1 species